rnacentral:rRNA from 1 species
GAUCAUGGCUCAGGACGAACGCUGGCGGCGUGCUUAACACAUGCAAGUCGAACGAGAAUCUACUGAAGGAGGAUUCGUCCAACGGAAGUAGAGGAAAGUGGCGGACGGGUGAGUAACGCGUGAGGAACCUGCCUUGAAGAGGGGGACAACAGUUGGAAACGACUGCUAAUACCGCAUGAAGCAUAGGGGUCGCAUGAUCUUUAUGCCAAAGAUUUAUCGCUUCAAGAUGGCCUCGCGU